GCCUGGCUGGUUCAGUCAGUAGAGCAUGUGACUCUCAAUCUCAGGCUUAUGAAUUCAAGCCCCGUGUUGGGCA
rnacentral:tRNA from 1 species